rnacentral:rRNA from 1 species
AAAUUGAAGAGUUUGAUCAUGGCUCAGAUUGAACGCUGGCGGCAGGCCUAACACAUGCAAGUCGAACGGUAACAGGAAAAAGCUUGCUGCUUUGCUGACGAGUGGCGGACGGGUGAGUAAUGUCCGGGAAACUGCCUGAUGGAGGGGGAUAACUACUGGAAACGGUAGCUAAUACCGCAUAACGUCGCAAGACCAAAGAGGGGGACCUUCGGGCCUCCGGCCAUCGGAUGUGCCCAGAUGGGAUUAGCUAGUAGGUGGGGUAACGGCUCACCUAGGCGACGAUCCCUAGCUGGUCUGAGAGGAUGACCAGCCACACUGGAACUGAGACAC